rnacentral:rRNA from 1 species
UACACGACCGUACCGCAAACCGACACUGGUGCGCGAGAUGAGUAUUCUAAGGCGCUUGAGAGAACUCAGGAGAAGGAACUCGGCAAAUUGACACCGUAACUUCGGAAGAAGGUGUGCCUUUAGUAGGUGAACCAUUUACUUGGGGAGCCCAAUGAGGUUGCAAAAAAUCGGUGGCUGCGACUGUUUAUUAAAAACACAGCACUCUGCAAACACGAAAGUGGACGUAUAGGGUGUGACGCCUGCCCGGUGCUGGAAGAUUAAAUGAUGGGGUGCAAGCUCUUGAUUGAAGUCCCAGUAAACGGCGGCCGUAACAAUAACGGUCCUAAGGUAGCGAAAUUCCUUGUCGGGUAAGUUCCGACCUGCACGAAUGGCGUAACGAUGGCCACACUGUCUCCUCCUGAGACUCAGCGAAGUUGAAAUGUUUGUGAUGAUGCAAUCUCCCCGCGGAAAGACGGAAAGACCCCAUGAACCUUUACUGUAGCUUUGUAUUGGACUUUGAACAGAUCUGUGUAGGAUAGGUGGGAGGCUUUGAAGUAGGGUCGCUAGAUUCUAUGGAGCCAACGUUGAAAUACCACCCUGGUGUGUUUGAGGUUCUAACCUAGGUCCAUUAUCUGGAUCGGGGACAGUGCAUGGUAGGCAGUUUGACUGGGGCGGUCUCCUCCCAAAGCGUAACGGAGGAGUUCGAAGGUACGCUAGUUACGGUCGGACAUCGUGACGAUAGUGCAAUGGCAUAAGCGUGCUUAACUGCGAGACUGACAAGUCGAGCAGAUGCGAAAGCAGGACAUAGUGAUCCGGUGGUUCUGUAUGGAAGGGCCAUCGCUCAACGGAUAAAAGGUACUCUGGGGAUAACAGGCUGAUACCGCCCAAGAGUUCAUAUCGACGGCGGUGUUUGGCACCUCGAUGUCGGCUCAUCUCAUCCUGGGGCUGUAGCCGGUCCCAAGGGUAUGGCUGUUCGCCAUUUAAAGAGGUACGUGAGCUGGGUUUAAAACGUCGUGAGACAGUUUGGUCCCUAUCUUCCGUGGGCGCUGCAGAUUUGAGGAAGCCUGCUCCUAGUACGAGAGGACCGGAGUGGACACACCUCUGGUGUAUCGGUUGUCACGCCAGUGGCAUUGCCGAGUAGCUAAGUGUGGAAGAGAUAACCGCUGAAAGCAUCUAAGCGGGAAACUCGUUUCAAGAUGAGAUCUGCCGGGGCCUUGAGCCCCCUAAAGAGUCGUUCAAGACCAGGACGUUGAUAGGUCGGGUGUGGAAGCGCAGUAAUGCGUUAAGCUAACCGAUACUAAUUGCUCGUGCGGCUUGACCA